UACGUAGGGUGCAAGCGUUAAUCGGAAUUAUUGGGCGUAAAGCGCGCGCAGGCGGUCCUUUAAGUCUGAUGUGAAAGCCCACGGCUCAACCGUGGAGGGUCAUUGGAAACUGGGGGACUUGAGUGCAGAAGAGGAAAGCGGAAUUCCACGUGUAGCGGUGAAAUGCGUAGAGAUGUGGAGGAACACCAGUGGCGAAGGCGGCUUUCUGGUCUGUAACUGACGCUGAGGCGCGAAAGCGUGGGGAGCAAACAGG
rnacentral:rRNA from 1 species